UGGAUUACAGGAUUGCCACCAAGCCC
rnacentral:piRNA from 1 species